UGGUUCUGGCAUCGAUGAAGAACGCAGCGAAAUGCGAUAAGUAAUGCGAAUUGCAGAAUUCCAGUGAGUCAUCGAAUCUUUGAACGCACAUUGCGCCCUUUGGCAUUCCGAAGGGCAUGCCUGUUCGAGCGUCAUUAUCACCCCUCAAGCCUCGCGCUUGGUGUUGGACGGCUUGGUCGAGGCUCGCCUCGACCCGUCCCAAAGACAAUGACGGCGGCCUGUGGCUCCCCCGGCACACUGAGCUUCUCACCGAGCACGUGUCGGAUCGUGGGCGUCCAGGCCCCGGUCGGCCUUCUUGUUCGCAAGGAACAUUUUUCUCCAGGUUGACCUCGGAUCAGGUAGGAAUACGCGCUGA
rnacentral:misc_RNA from 1 species